GAGAGUUGAAGAUAAUAAGAAGGGGAAGAAGACAAAUGGUGCUGCUAAUGCCUUGACAGUUGGGCUAGCUACUGUUGUUUCUAUGGCAGCCAAAAAAGCUGUUGAUGAUGUUACGAACAGUAUCUAGCCAAGCUGCCAAGGCAUCAGCAGCACCAUUUGUCUUCUUCCCCUUCUUAUUAUCUUCAACUCUCU
rnacentral:pre_miRNA from 1 species